rnacentral:rRNA from 1 species
GAUGAACGCUGGCGGCGUGCCUAAUACAUGCAAGUCGAGCGAACAGAUGAGGAGCUUGCUCCUCUGACGUUAGCGGCGGACGGGUGAGUAACACGUGGAUAACCUACCUAUAAGACUGGGAUAACUUCGGGAAACCGGAGCUAAUACCGGAUAAUAUAUUGAACCGCAUGGUUCAAUAGUGAAAGACGGUUUUGCUGUCACUUAUAGAUGGAUCCGCGCCGCAUUAGCUAGUUGGUAAGGUAACGGCUUACCAAGGCAACGAUGCGUAGCCGACCUGAGAGGGUGAUCGGCCACACUGGAACUGAGACACGGUCCAGACUCCUACGGGAGGCAGCAGUAGGGAAUCUUCCGCAAUGGGCGAAAGCCUGACGGAGCAACGCCGCGUCAGUGAUGAAGGUCUUCGGAUCGUAAAACUCUGUUAUUAGGGAAGAACAAAUGUGUAAGUAACUAUGCACGUCUUGACGGUACCUAAUCAGAAAGCCACGGCUAACUACGUG